rnacentral:rRNA from 1 species
UUGAACGCUGGCGGCAGGCCUAACACAUGCAAGUCGAACGGUAACAGGAAGAAGCUUGCUUCUUUGCUGACGAGUGGCGGACGGGUGAGUAAUGUCUGGGAAACUGCCUGAUGGAGGGGGAUAACUACUGGAAACGGUAGCUAAUACCGCAUAACGUCGCAAGACCAAAGAGGGGGACCUUCGGGCCUCUUGCCAUCGGAUGUGCCCAGAUGGGAUUAGCUAGUAGGUGGGGUAACGGCUCACCUAGGCGACGAUCCCUAGCUGGUCUGAGAGGAUGACCAGCCACACUGGAACUGAGACACGGUCCAGACUCCUACGGGAGGCAGCAGUGGGGAAUAUUGCACAAUGGGCGCAAGCCUGAUGCAGCCAUGCCGCGUGUAUGAAGAAGGCCUUCGGGUUGUAAAGUACUUUCAGCGGGGAGGAAGGGAGUAAAGUUAAUACCUUUACUCAUUGACGUUACCCGCAGAAGAAGCACCGGCUAACUCCGUG